CCCUUAGACGUUCUGGGCCGCACGCGCGCUACACUGACGGAGCCAGCGAGUAUAAACCUUGGCCGAGAGGUCUGGGAAAUCUUGUGAAACUCCGUCGUGCUGGGGAUAGAGCAUUGUAAUUAUUGUUCUUCAACGAGGAAUUCCUAGUAAGCGCAAGUCAUCAGCUUGCGUUGAUUACGUCCCUGCCCUUUGUACACACCGCCCGUCGCUACUACCGAUUGAAUGGCUUAGUGAGGCUUCCGGAUUGGUUUAGAGAAGGGGGCAACUCCAUCUUGGAACCGAGAAGCUAGUCAAACUUGGUCAUUUAGAGGAAGUAAAAGUCGUAACA
rnacentral:rRNA from 1 species